rnacentral:misc_RNA from 1 species
GCGAUUACGAUACGAAGCUUUCACGAUAUACAUCAUAAGCUCGGUGUCAAAAUUUUUCAACCCAGAAACAAAAUUGCAAACACAAAGAAGAAACAAUGAAAUUUCUUUGCUCACAAUACAAAACUUUCUUAAACUGUGAUCAGAAAUACAUUCAAAAUUUGAUGAAGCAUUCAUCUGAAAGACAAGGAAGCAAGAGAUCAUUCUUGCCCUUUGCCCAUUUUAUUGUCUAUUAUAUUCUAACGCCACAAAAUUCAUUCUAUGAUGUAUAAUAUCAUUUUACCUUAAGCUACGUCUAACAUGGCAGACCACAUUCAGUUAUUUCAGCGGGCACAAUGUUGCCAUCUUGUUGCUGUAAUCCAGAUGUCAUCAAAGUCACACCAAUUUUAUCAGGUAUAUGGUCUUGGUUCUCGAACAAAGUUCAAUUUAUCUUUAGCUUGUUGAUCCAGUUCUCAGUUAGCAUGAACAGAUGCAUGCUGCCCUUCUCAAAAUUCUAACUGAGCAAGCAAAAUUCUUCGCUUCCUUUAUAGUUAUACAUAAUCACAUUAUGAAUGGACUAUGAGCAAUUCCUUGCUAUUUACUUGUCCACUUCUUCAGGGAUAAUGGCCUUGCCAAGAUAGACCUGUUGCAUCUCCUCUCUCCAUAUCGUUUCACGGAAUUCCACUCGGAUGUGAGGCACAUUUGUCUUGCGAAUAUCGUUUCCUUCUGGCCCCCUCUUGUAGUACUCUUUCCCAAUCCAGUGUGACUUCAGAGCAUGUGAGAAACCUGAUUGAUAUACCGAAUUCCGGGCUAUCUCACACAGAUCACAUGAACUCAACUUCCACACAGAAGCAGCUAUGCUGUAUUCUUCCACCAAAGGUUCCUUUGUCAGGUGGAUUUGGAGUGGAUCAUCUGUUGACAGGGAAACAUUGAGACCUCGUAGGAAGAACAUAGGAAAUGGAUUCCGAUGGUAGUCUAAAAAUAAGGAAUUGUUGCUUAGAGGAGACAACGCCAGGCCAAUCUGAGCUAGAUAGUAUAAAUAUUGAAGCACAGGAGACUUUCUCAAAUUAAUCCCAUGUGCAAUGUUAUGAGCCGUCAGAAAUGUAGCAGCAAGGUGGUCAAUGUCACCAGCCUGAUAAUCAUAUAUGUAUGUGAGGCACCCAGAAAACCUUAACAGUUACAUCAAGUACAAUUAAGCUUCUAUUAAUACCUCUCCAGAAUGUGGCCGGAAUUUGAUAGUCGUCAUGCCCUUUGAUUCACGAAGCUAAAAAAUAGAAUUGUAUCAGGUGAGUGAAUGAUACAUCAAUAUAGACCAGUGCAUCUAGCAAUGAUUUUAUUGAAAGAAAUAUUAUCCCAUUCAUGGGCAUUGGAGGCCAAAGAAAAAAACAAAAGAACCAGCCAUCAAAUGUUUGCAUCAAAUUCAUAAGCUCAUGAGGGGAAAAAGGAAAAUAAUGGAAAAGUGGUUGACAAAAUAUUCAGAAAAGGAUAAUAGUAAAUGGUCUUUGAUAAGCAUCCACAAAUAACACCUUAUUAGGUACACUACACACCUUGUUUAAAGUGUACAAGUUAGCAUAACAGUAAUAUGCAUAAUAUGAAAAUGCAGGAUUGAACACAUUGGUCCAUUGAGCUGGUGUAGGCAUGUGCUUUGUAGGGCGUCUUUCAGGCUUGCUUUCAUCAUCAACCAAAUCCAAUCCAACAACCUGUUUUAAGAAAACAUGCAACUGUGGAUGUGAAUCUGGAUCCACAGUAACCUCAAAGAGUGGAAUAAAGAUAUUGUCAAGAAUGUUCUGAAAUGAUGUCACAAUCCCCAUUUCCUUGUACACAUUGUACAGUCUUGGAAGCUGAAUUAACCAAACAACAUUCUCACUGUACAAUUCAUUGUUCACUAUCCAGCUAGCUAAUUGGUCCCAUUCACUUUGCUUGCGGCCGUAUAUUGAUAUUCGAUAUUCAGCCAUCUGAUAUUUGCUUGCAGAAAGAUCAGAAAACACUUGUUUUGUCAGCUCAGCAAGGAAACGACCUUGGAUAAGAUUGUCUUGUUUAAGGAAAAUCUCCCUGAGCCUACUCUGACCACAUGGAUUAUACUUAAGGUUGAACUUAUCAAAGCGAUGAAAUGUGCUCUUGUCAGCAUGAACAUCCAAAAGGUCAACAUUAAGGUCAUACCCAGUCAAAUCCAAGCUCUCAAACACUUCCUUCAAAGUCAAGUAAGUUCCAUCCCGAAAUAUAACAACCUCAUCGGGCUCUUUCCUCAAUUUUGACUUAAUAAACCUUAAAAGAUGUUUCUGGUUCAUGCAUGCUGAGUGAUGAACAUGUGUAUCCACUUUUCUAACAUUAUAGAAGUCACGAUGCGGAGCACUUUUCUGGGCAAGAAACUCCCUAUCCGCAUUAAGCAUCAAAUGAAGGUUGAAUUUUUGUUCUAGAAGAUUCAGCCGAUGAUGGCAUAAAGUUCUGAUAUUCCCAGCUGCAAUAACUCGAAGUAUGUGAUGCAAAUCAGUGAAGAAGGUUGUUGCAUCAGCAACAGGAAAGAGUUCUUCCUUAGAAUCUUUAUUUGCAAACACAUGAAUGACUCCAUCUUUCAUCUCAAAGUAAUGAUCAGACUUUCCCUCCGGAGCAUAGAAGAAUGGCUCUGGAUUAGGCUUCGGUGUACUGGGGUCAGAAAUAACUUCUUUCUCCCAUGGAGCAAUUGCUUCCUUAAAUACAUAUCUUUUUCGCAUUUCAAGGCAUUCUUGAAGAACUAUAUAGGACUCCACUUCAUCAGGGGAUGGUACCUCAGUAGGGGAAAUUUUAAGCCGUGCAAAAGUUUCUUGUUCUGGCUCUUUUCUAAGAAUAUCAGCUGCAAUAGGGUCAGGCUGUACACCAUGCAAGUCACCAGAUACACUAUGAGAUCGAAUCAUGCUUGAAGCAGGCAUUGGAAUUUGCUCUCCAUUGGCAUUAACUUGUUUUGACAAAUUCUCAAAUAGGCCUUUACACUCGGGGCCAGAAACAGCAUUUCCAUUCGUAUUGAGAUAAGUAGUGUCUAGCUUAGAAGUGUCAGUCAUAUUAUCUUCUUCAUCUGAUCCUUCUACGCUCUCAAAGGCACUAGCACUAGGAACGGGAGAUUUUGGGGAAGUUGGUCUGAUAAGAUUUCCAGCUCUCUUGACAUGUCCUGCAGCUUUACCUUCAGGUAACGUGUGCAGCCUGGGUAACCCAGGGGGAAUCCCGUCCACAUGAAGCGGACCAUUCCGCUUCUCCACUCCAUCGACUCCUCCACCGCCACCAGAAAUGACCGUGACGUCCGGCAGCGAUGCAGAGCCGCGGCGGUAAUAGCCGUUCCCCUUCCUCCGUCCAUGGCUACGGCGCUUCUUCAAAUGCUGUGGCGAGUCUCCAUCGGAGUUAUAUUCCCUCUCCCUCUCUCUUUCUCUCUCAACCGUCUUGGCAAACUCUAGCAACUGUGUUAGGGUUUUGCGGUGCAUAUAAUACGCAGAUACCGCCACCAGUGAAGCCCCCACCAGCGCUGCCAUGGCCAGAUGCACGGUAUAACCAUCCAUCACUCUCCCUCUCCCUCCCUGCUUAUACAGUAGUAGCAGUAGCAGAUACAAGUUUUUUAAAAGAACUCGGCCCAACAGUCGAGCUAAACGGCAACUGAUAG